UUGUGGCGCGGACCGGCAGAGAGAAGCUCGGGGUGAUGUCACCAGUCCGGGGGUUCCGCUCAGACGUGUUGCUGCCGGUUGAGGUUUGAUGGCGGGGAAUUUCUGGCAGAGCUCUCACUAUUUACAAUGGAUUUUGGAC